rnacentral:lncRNA from 1 species
AUCUCUGGUCUUAUUCCGACGAGUUCUUCAAACUCUAGGGUUUUUCGACUUUCGGACCUGGGUUUUGAUGCUAUCCGAUGACUUUACUUUCGGUCAAUAGCAUUUUGGGUAAGCUUCCGAUGUCUGUGACCUUAUCUUGGUGAGUUUCCGUUUAACUGCAAUCUCCGGUGACCGUACUUAGUCUUAUCUGGUGGUUGAAGGCCGUUCUUCUCCGGUCGCGAAGAAGGAGGGUAACACU